UACAGAGGGUGCAAGCGUUAAUCGGAAUUACUGGGCGUAAAGGGUGCGUAGGUGGUUUGGUAAGUUGGUUGUGAAAUCCCUGGGCUUAACCUAGGAAUUGCAGUCAAAACUGCCAAGCUAGAGUAGAAUAGAGGGAAGUAGAAUUUCCGGUGUAGCGGUGAAAUGCGUAGAUAUCGGAAGGAACACCAGUGGCGAAGGCGACUUCCUGGAUUCAUACUGACACUGAGGCACGAAAGCGUGGGGAGCAAAC
rnacentral:rRNA from 1 species